rnacentral:rRNA from 1 species
CCUACGGGUGGCUGCAGUGAGGAAUAUUGGUCAAUGGGCGGAAGCCUGAACCAGCCAAGUCGCGUGAGGGAUUAAGGCCCUGCGGGUCGUAAACCUCUUUUGCCGGGGAGCAGAGGUCCGGACGUGUCCGGGCCGGGAGAGUACCCGGAGAAAAAGCAUCGGCUAACUCCGUGCCAGCAGCCGCGGUAAUACGGAGGAUGGGAGCGUUAUCCGGAUUUAUUGGGUUUAAAGGGUGCGCAGGCGGAGGUGCAAGUCAGCGGUCAAAUUGCGGGGCUCAACCCCGUACUGCCGUUGAAACUGCAGCCCUUGAGUGCGCGAGAAGUAUGCGGAAUGCGUGGUGUAGCGGUGAAAUGCAUAGAUAUCACGCAGAACUCCGAUUGCGAAGGCAGCAUACCGGCGCGCAACUGACGCUCAUGCACGAAAGCGUGGGUAUCGAACAGGAUUAGAUACCCCAGUAGUC